UGGCGGACGGGUGAGUAACGCGUGGGUAACCUGCCCUGUACAGGGGGACAACAGUUAGAAAUGACUGCUAAUACCGCAUAAGCGCACAGGACCGCAUGGGUCCGGUGUGAAAAACUCCGGUGGUACAGGAUGGACCUGCGUCUGAUUAGGUAGUUGGCGGGGUAACGGCCCACCAAGCCGACGAUCAGUAGCCGACCGUGAGAGGGUGACCGGCCACAUUGGGACUGAGACACGGCCCAAACUCCUACGGAAGGCAGCAG
rnacentral:rRNA from 1 species